rnacentral:lncRNA from 1 species
AGGAAAAACAGAUCUCUGAGAAGCAGGGAGAAUAACAGCCUGGAGAAUGCAGCCGAGCUAUGCCACUGGACUACGGAAGCAAGGCCAUUGACAAUCAAGAAAGCAGCAGCAGGAGAUCAGCAUAUUCCCAUGUUGCUGAAAGGAUGUUUGGAUCAGUGAAGUGCAUCUGUCAUGCUAUCUGCUGUCACCUCAUGAUCCUCCUUCAUCUCCCACUAGGCUCACCAUGRAGCUCAUACUCAGCCUCUCUAUCUCAGGAACGUGGAAGGUCGCCGUUUCCUCACCGYUCCCACUGCUUUCUGACUCCCCACAAACCAGCAGGGACCGAGAAUCUUUCCAUGGCUGAUUCAGGCUGACAUGUGGCUGUGGCCCAAACUGAAGCAGCGCAUUCGUCCAGUGAAGGUAGGAGGUAACUGGAAAGCACUGUGCUGAGCUUAAU